rnacentral:rRNA from 1 species
GACGAACGCUGGCGGCGUGCCUAAUACAUGCAAGUAGAACGCUGAAGAGAGGAGCUUGCUCUUCUUGGCUGAGUUGCGAACGGGUGAGUAACGCGUAGGUAACCUGCCUUGUAGCGGUGGAUAACUAUUGGAAACGAUAGCUAAUACCGCAUAACAAUGGAUGACACAUGUCAUUUAUUUGAAAGGGGCAAUUGCUCCACUACAAGAUGGACCUGCGUUGUAUUAGCUAGUAGGUGAGGUAACGGCUCACCUAGGCGACGAUACAUAGCCGACCUGAGAGGGUGAUCGGCCACACUGGGACUGAGACACGGCCCAGACUCCUACGGGAGGCAGCAGUAGGGAAUCUUCGGCAAUGGGGGCAACCCUGACCGAGCAACGCCGCGUGAGUGAAGAAGGUUUUCGGAUCGUAAAGCUCUGUUGUAAGUCAAGAACGAGUGUGAGAGUGGAAAGUUCACACUGUGACGGUAGCUUACCAGAAAGGGACGGCUAACUACGUG